rnacentral:rRNA from 1 species
GACGAACGCUGGCGGCGUGCCUACUACAUGCAAGUAGAACGCAGUUGCGAACGGGUGAGUAACGCGUCGGUAACUGCCUCAUAGCGGGGGAUAAUUAUUGGACACGCUAGCUAAUACCUCAUACUGUGAGAUGUACCUGCGUGGUAUUAGCUAGUUGGUGAGGUAAAGGAUCACCAAGGCGACGAUACAUAGCCGACCUGAGAGGAUGAGCGGCCACACUAGGACGUAGACACGGCCCAGACUCCUACGGGAGGCAGCUGUAGGGAAGCUUCGGCAAUGGACGGAAGUGUGACCGAGCAACGCCGCGUGAGUGAAGAAGGUUGUUGGAUCGUAAAGCUCUGUGGUUAGAGAAGCGGUAUCUAACCAGAAAGGGACGGCUAACUACGUGCCAGCAGCCGCGGUAAUAC